rnacentral:rRNA from 1 species
GACGAACGCUGGCGGCGUGCUUAACACAUGCAAGUCGAACGGUGAAGCGCCUUCCUUUUUGGUGGGUGUGGAUGAGUGGCGAACGGGUGAGUAACACGUGAGUAACCUGCCCCCUUCUUCUGGAUAACCGCAUGAAAGUGUGGCUAAUACGGGAUAUUCUGGGUCUGUCGCAUGAUGGGUCUGGGAAAGAUAUUGUUUCGGUGGGGGAUGGGCUCGCGGCCUAUCAGCUUGUUGGUGGGGUGAUGGCCUACCAAGGCGGUGACGGGUAGCCGGCCUGAGAGGGUGGACGGUCACACUGGGACUGAGACACGGCCCAGACUCCUACGGGAGGCAGCAGUGGGGAAUAUGGCACAAUGGGCGCAAGCCGGAUGCAGCGACGCCGCGUGAGGGAUGGAGGCCUUCGGGUUGUGAACCUCUUUCGCCAGUGAAGCAGGCCUGCCUCGUUUGUGGGUGGGUUGACGGUAGCUGGAUAAGAAGCGCCGGCUAACUACGUG